AUUUUUCAGUAUAACCUCCAGCAGAAAGAAAUAUAAAGGCUCACUGCAGUUUUGACUUCUGAGUGCUGAACAAGUACUGACCCCAUACUAUGCUCAGCAAGUAGGGCCCUUGUAUUUCUGUGAAUCCUCAUGCAGUACAGUACUGCUGUUGGAAGUGGAGCAAACAGUGUGGUAUCUAUGGUCCACCAUCACUUCAAGCAUCAUGGCUAUGGAGAAAAGAAUGUUUCAUUACAUAUGGACAAUUGUAGUGGACAAAAUAAGAAAAGUGUUGUGAUAAGCUAUGGAAUGUGGCUUGUUAUGAUGGGUCUACAUGAUGACUUGGAGUACAACCUGAUUGAGGCCCGACAUACAGAAUUCAGUCCUGAACAUGUUUAGAAUGUCUUCUGCAUGACCUGGUAUAGACAGUAUUCUUGAAGGAUUAUAACUUCAACACAGAGACGGAGAUUAAUAUUUUUAGGCAGGGGGUUGGCUUGACAGGCAAAUUACCGUAUUACCAUUCCUGAGCUGGAUGCCGGUCGACAGUGGUACCUGUAUAAUGAAAUAGCGCCCAUUUGCAGCAACGGCAAUGUAUGCUCAAAACCAGCAGUGUCAAAGCCAUUAAAUUGAUAAUUCAAGUCAUUUAAAACGAAGAAUGAAUGGAAAAAAGUGUUUAACAUUUAAAGUAAUACAGAGAAAGAGCUCUGAAAUUUUGGUUAAUUUGAAAGUGUUUUUGAUUUUUUGAAGAUGUACUAGACCCAAAUUCCAUAUAUUUGAAAAAGAACAAAUGAUACAUAUAGUUUACAAUACUAUGCAUUUGUUAAAUAUUGACACACUAUAUACAUGUAAGGCUGAACACAGUAUAAAUGUGAAAUUCCUCUAAAACACUGGAAGAUUUUUCAACAAUAAUUGUAACAUAUAUGGUAGUAAUGUACAUUUUUUCAUCACGACAGUUGGAUUAUAUAGAUCUAUGAAUAUUUUCAGUUGUAUUCAAACUGCAUGUAAUCAUUUCAGUUGGCAGUAUCAUGUUCAUUUUUCCUUUUCAUAAACAAUUAAUUUAACCUGUCAGAAAUCACAGUAUAUGUAUAAUUUGUAAAACAUACAUUGGAUUAUUUUAGAAACAAUUUAGUUUUUGUAUGCCUAAUUAUGUAUUAUUGUCGUUAGUAUCAUCUAACUCUUUUAAUAUGAUCAAGACAUUUAAUAAGGCAGUUUUCUUGAACUAUUACUGUGUGUUAAAUGAGAUUAUGUAGCAUUACGUUUACGGAAUUAACUGCGUAACCAUGGAAACAUUGUUCUGUUGUUCUAUAUUAUGUCUUGAAAAAAACAUUGUUUGAAGAACACUUUUUAGUGAUGCAUUUUUUUUUAUUUUUACAUGUAAUGGUAAAUGUUGAAAGUGUUCUUCAAUAACGUAGCAAAAACGUCAUUGUUGUCUCAUUGAAGCAUAUACUGCAACUCCG